CUACUGAUGUUUACACGUUAGUUUUAUACCCUGCAACAUUACUGAAUUUAUCACAUUUAGUAGUCUUUUGGUACAAUCUUUAUUUACUUAUUUUACAAAACAGGUAAUGUGACUUUUUCUAUUUAUGUGGCCUUUCUUUCUCUUACCUAGUUGCUAGGCUAAAACUUCCACUAGUGCGUUGACUAAGAAAGGUGAGAGAAUCCAAGGACAGCACAAUAGAGCCAGUUGUGGGAGUAGGUGGUCAGAAGCCUAGAGGCGCUGGGAGGGGGCUUCCCGCUGUCAAUGGUCCCCCCCCUCCCCAGGGCGGAGGGGACGCCCAUAGCCUGGGGAACCGCGGGGAACCCCGUCCCGCCCCGCCCCGCCCCGUGGCCUGCGGGACUCGCCAGCCACGCCCAUCUCUGUCUUCAUCCUGCGCGGUGGCGGCCUGCCCUCGGGUCAGGAAGCCAGGCUCUCGUGGGUGGUGGAGGACACAGCCUGCAGACUCCGAGGCGCGAGCGGAGCAUCCCUGCCUCCGCGGGUCGCGGAAGUGACGCGUGGCACCCCGGCCAAGAGAGCGUUUGAAUCGGUUCCCGGAUUGCUUCCAGGCGGCAGCCGAGGAGGUGCUGCGCGGCCGGCCUAGACCCCUAGUCACGGCAGCUGGAGCCGAGGGCACGCGCGGAGUGGGCGUCGCCGCGAAGUGCUCCCUAGGGAGGGCCGUGGGGUGCUCACCGCAAUAUGGCAGUGACGGGCGCCAGCGAUCCCGGAGGCCUCUUGGAGGGGUCUGGGAGGGAAGGAGGCGUCGACGGCUGCAGGACCGUGUACUGGUCUGACUGCGCGGGAAGGCGGCUGAGCUCGGGGAGCGCGCACUGCAGGUCUCCAACCGCGCAGGCUAUGCGGAUUCCACGCUUCAGCGUGUCAGGUUAACUGGACUCCUGAGGUUAACAGAGAACAUUUGCUACAAGGUUUGCUUCCUGGUGUACAAGUACCAACAUCUGUGAAAGAUGUGAGCUACUGUCAGGUUUCUUUCCAAGAUGACCAUGUGUCUCUGGAAAGUGCAUUUACAAUCAGGCCAGCACACAGAGUAUAACUGUACGAGGCAUCAGAUUCAUCCCAGGUCCUCCUGGGCAUAAGGAUCUUUGUUUUACUUGGUGAGAGUUUUCUGACUUUAUUCGUGUGCACCUCAUUUCUGGACCUCCAACCAAGCUGCAUCUUAUCGACUGGCCAGAGCUAAAAGAGGUUCAGCAAAGAUGAUGGGGACCCAGGUCAGCUUCACUGACUGCAUUCGCAAUGGUCGCGAUGGUAAGGAAACUUGCAGAUUGUUAGAACUCCCAUCUCAAAUGACAAAAACUCAGCUCCCAGCCCCAGGUCAUCACAUCCUCUGAAGCAGAUUCGCCAACGAGCAGGGGGACCAUUGUUCACUAGAUAGCAGCAUGGGGCAGGAGAGAGGAUCAUGGUGCUGGCUGCAGAGGAUUUUAAGAUCCAGGGCAGUCCAGGAGUUCCCAAGGACCUUGCUGCAGCCAGCGCAGCCUGGAUAGCCAAGACUGGGAGGGAGUGCCGGGGUUGAGACCCGUGGAAGAACAGCAAGCUUUAUUUUGCCCAGCAACCAUUUAUACCUCUGUUCCUUUUGUGGAGCCCCACCAGCCAGAAAGAACACAAACAUCCUUGUCAAUUACAGACCACAAGGAAGUUCCGCUCUCGGUCAGGGGGAGUGAGGGCAGCUGGAUCACAACAGACCUGACUCACCAUACGAUGCCCCCAGGGGCCCGCUGAGAAGAAGCCGGUCUCCUCAGCAGGCUGUUCAGGAACUGGGUGCUCCUUCUUGCUUUUAAUUUUUCUGCAGGUAAGAAUGAACAGGGACAAGAAGAAGGGGAGCACAGGACAAGAGUCCUCCAGAACAGGCAUGUGGUUAAGUUAUGUUCCUCUCCUGUUCGUCAGUGUAUUUUUUACAGCUGCCCUGUGAGGCACACAUGGGAUUUAUUUGGGGUUUACAGGUGUUUUGCCAGCAUGGAUGUCUGUGUACUACCCCAGUGCCUGGUUACUGAGGAAGCUAGAAGAGGUUACUGGAACUCCCAUAACUGAAGUUUCAAGGGGUUGUGAGCUACCAUGCGGGAGCUGGCAAUCAAACCUGGGUCUCUGCAAAUGAGCUAAACCACGGCACUGUGUGGGACCCUCCCUCACUCCUUAUUCUCAAAGGGGCAAGAAGAAAUUUCCUAGCAGAAUGUUUUCCCAGGAAGAUAGUGGCCUUCCCCUCUCCC